rnacentral:rRNA from 1 species
UACAGAGGGGGCAAGCGUUGUUCGGAAUUACUGGGCGUAAAGGGCGCGUAGGCGGCCUGCUAAGUCGAACGUGAAAUCCCCGGGCUCAACCCGGGAACUGCGUCCGAUACUGGUAGGCUUGAAUUCGGGAGAGGGAUGCGGAAUUCCAGGUGUAGCGGUGAAAUGCGUAGAUAUCUGGAGGAGCACCGGUGGCGAAGGCGGCAUCCUGGACCGACAUUGACGCUGAGGCGCGAAAGCCAGGGGAGCAAACGGG